rnacentral:lncRNA from 1 species
GAGCCAGUCAACAUAAUUGGCAUUGCAGCAAAGGUUAGUGAGGGAAGAUGGGAGAUGGUAGCAAUGACUGCAAGUCUGGUGAUACGGAAGCGAGGUCAACCUCACGUUGAGGAGAACAUUGUUGAAGAUCUCGACACCUAGAAGUUGAGAAAGUAGAGGAUGACCGGUAGGA